rnacentral:rRNA from 1 species
UACAGAGGUCCCAAGCGUUGUUCGGAUUCACUGGGCGUAAAGGGUGCGUAGGUGGUUGCGCAAGUCUGAUGUGAAAUCUCCGGGCUCAACCCGGAAAUGGCAUUGGAAACUGCGUGGCUAGAGGGUUGGAGGGGGGACUGGAAUACUUGGUGUAGCAGUGAAAUGCGUAGAUAUCAAGUGGAACACCAGUGGCGAAGGCGGCUCACUGGCCCGGUACUGACGCUGAGGUGCGAAAGCGUGGGGAGCAAACAGG